CUCAGUUGAAUGAAGACCGUACCGUAAACCGACACAGGUGGGUAGGAUGAGAAUUCUAAGGCGCUUGAGAGAACUCAGGAGAAGGAACUCGGCAAAAUAGCACCGUAACUUCGGGAAAAGGUGUGCCCUUUGUAUGUGUAGCGCCUCGCGCGUGAAGCAGAAUAGGGUUGCAAUGAAAUGGUGGCUGCGACUGUUUAAUAAAAACAUAGCACUCUGCAAACACGAAAGUGGACGUAUAGAGUGUGACGCCUGCCCGGUGCCGGAAGGUUAAAUGAUGGGGUGCAAGCUCUUGAUUGAAGCCCCGGUAAACGGCGGCCGUAACAAUAACGGUCCUAAGGUAGCGAAAUUCCUUGUCGGGUAAGUUCCGACCUGCACGAAUGGCGUAACGAUGGCCACACUGUCUCCUCCUGGGACUCAGCGAAGUUGAAAUGUUUGUGAAGAUGCAAUCUCCCCGCGGCUAGACGGAAAGACCCCGUGCACCUUUACUGUAGCUUUACAUUGGACUUUGAUAACAUUUGUGUAGGAUAGGUGGGAGGCUUUGAAGUGGAUUCGCCAGAAUUCAUGGAGCCAACGUUGAAAUACCACCCUGAUGUUGUUGAGGUUCUAACCUAGAUCCAUUAUCUGGAUUGGGGACCGUGUAUGGUAGGCAGUUUGACUGGGGCGGUCUCCUCCCAAAUUGUAACGGAGGAGUACGAAGGUACGCUAGGUACGGUCGGAAAUCGUGCUGAUAGUGCAAUGGCAAAAGCGUGCUUGACUGCGAGACUGACAAGUCGAGCAGAUGCGAAAGCAGGUCAUAGUGAUCCGGUGGUUCUGUAUGGAAGGGCCAUCGCUCAACGGAUAAAAGGUACGCCGGGGAUAACAGGCUGAUUCCUCCCAAGAGUUCAUAUCGACGGGGGAGUUUGGCACCUCGAUGUCGGCUCAUCACAUCCUGGGGCUGUAGCCGGUCCCAAGGGUAUGGCUGUUCGCCAUUUAAAGUGGUACGUGAGCUGGGUUUAAAACGUCGUGAGACAGUUUGGUCCCUAUCUGCCGUGGGCGUUGGAAGUUUGAGUGGACCUGCUCCUAGUACGAGAGGACCGGAGUGGACGCACCUCUGGUGUACCGGUUAUGACGCCAGUCGUAUCGCCGGGUAGCUAUGUGCGGAAGAGAUAACCGCUGAAAGCAUCUAAGCGGGAAACUCUCCUCAAGAUGAGACUUCCCGAGGGUUUAACCCUCCUAAAGGUUCGUCGAAGACUACGACGUUGAUAGGUCGGGUGUGGAAGCAUAGUGAUAUGUUAAGCUAACCGAUACUAAUUGACCGUGAGGCUUGAUCCU
rnacentral:rRNA from 1 species